UGGUACUACAGCUGCUCGUAGUGUGGCUGCUGGAGUUUGACUAUAUAUAAUUUUGACUCAAUGAGUCUUUGUAGUUGAUGUUGGCGACAGUUGGUCCACCGUAGGAGUAGAAUGUACAUCUAGAGAGGAUCUAUCGAUUCUAGCAGAACAGAGUAGUCCUAUAAAAUUUAAGAAGCUGAGUCUUUAAGUCUAUGAUCAUGCAGUGUGAUUAAUAAAAAAGAGUUUUCAUGAGAAUCAUACAUGGACUCAAGCUAAUUG
rnacentral:lncRNA from 1 species